GUGGAGGCUGUCCUGCCUGCGAGAGUCCCGACAGCCGCCUGCUGGGCUCCGGGGUGACGUGGGCUGGCUUGUAACAGCGUCUCGGCUUGCGGGAUGCAGUGCCUCCAUGUGCGGACAAUCAAAGGAAGGGGGUCACUCCAGACCUUACAAGUGGUAGGAAGAUUCAACCUCAACCUCGAAGGACUGAAUCCUGAAUAGCCAUACAGAGGUGUGGUUGUUGAUUAUUACAUAAUAGAUUUUUGUGGGGUGGGGGUUAAAACAAGUUCAUGCCAAAGUCCAUGAUGUAAUCCAUAUGUUUCUUGAAGGAGAGAAUCACACCCCUGCAACUUCAGUUCUCAUUGUGCACUGUUACAGUACUCAGUAAUAUGAGAGUUCCAGGUGUACCAUGAAUACUUGUGACCAAAGUCACACAAUGACUGUACAGCUCCUUCAGUAAAAACAACUCAAUAAAUUGUUACACCAAGA